CAGGGAGGGUGACUGAGGAAGAGAGAAGAGAGGAGAUCUAAACCCAGUCACAUCUGGACAGCACACAAAUCAGAGAAGCCUGCGGGAAGAAAGCCCACAGAGGAGGAGGGACCCGCCUGCAACUUUUCCCCAGGCUUGGACAAGUGAUGCUUGAACACCCCAAGCUAUCUGCACAUGAGAAGCUACAGUCACCUCCCAAGGGAGCUGCCCCCUGCUCUGGCUGGUCAAACGGAACCAAGUCCGUCUUCUUGAGAGGUUUGGUCCCCUUCAACCAGCUACAGCAGGGCUGGCAAUGUCGGUCCUUGGAGAAACAGAAGAGAGUCACCUGGGCUGAACUUACCUAUUAAAGCUUUCCUUGUGAAAUCAAUCUGGUUUUCUCAUCACACUCCCAUGUGCCCCCAGAAAGAAGACAGGAGGAAUCCUCACAUCAAAAGUGAGCAAGGGUUUCACACUCAACACACAGUUGUACGCCCGUGCAUACACAGCCAGAGCCACUCAUGUGCCCUCAACACACAGUCAGUCACAGCUUUGGGCAUGGAGUUGGUGCCAGCCAGGGGAAGAGCAUGAGGCAGGGAAGACUGGGCUCCUGUCAGCAGGGGCUAGCAGCCUAAGUAAGGAGAUUCGAUGAAACUGAAAAUCAGAGCAAGACUAGUUCUAGACAUAAUUCUUAGCAGGUCACCAAAUAUGCCUGAGCCACUGUGCAUAUCAGGGGUCUCUAUUGACCCAUGCAGCCCAGGAUAUCAUUCACUGAGGAAUAUGAACCUGUCUUGGUUUACUGAUCUCUAGAAAGGGGAUGAUAAUAUCUAUCCACAUGGCCUUAUGUGAAAUGAAGUGAGACUACAUGAAUGGGAGUUAGAAAGUUCUCAAUAAUUGUUCCCUGUGGUUAAGGAGGAACCCUGUUUAACUUCAAAUUUCUUUUUUAGAUUUGUGUACUCACGAGUGUGCCUGGAACUUAGCUAAUAUGUGAUACGUAUUUUUUUUUAUGAGCACAUGUGUUCCUAUGCUAUGCUUAGACAAAGCAUGUCACAUGAGAGCCCUGAGCCCACAGAGUGCCCGCUAAGGGAACCAGGUCCUUGUUUGCACAGGCUUUGGAGUGAGGGAGACCCGGAUCUGAAUCUGCCCCUCAUUGAUAAACUCUGAUACAUCCCUGUUUAUAGCUUCACCUUACACUGCAUGAAUCUUAAUUUCCUCUCUAUAAAAUGGGGACAAUGAUACCUACCUCAAAGUGACUAUGAUUUUUAAGAACACAAUGUUUGUAAAGAGCCAAAUAUAAGCCCUCAAGAAUGGUAGUGGUUGCUAUUUGGCUGUUGUAAGUGUCAACAGCACAAGGACAAUGCUGUGUCCAGAGGUACUCACACCUGGAAGGGAAAGACCUAAUUAAAUAGAUAAAUAUUCCAACUAUGAAUUCUACUUGCAGAUAGCAUGUAUUCAUCCUAUUAUGUAUUAAUAAUAGGUAGGAACUUUUACUAAAAACAAACCUCAUACAUGAAACUGAUACCACUACUUGAAAAAAACAUCCUGCCUGGGAAAGCUUCAUGUGCAGGUGCUACUGAGCUCUAAUCUGUAACCACAUGUUCUCCUGAACAUGCAAAGGCCAUGUAGUGUGUAUUCCAAAGAUUAACCCAGAAUAGAUUUAGAUAUGGGUAUUGGAGCUAAAUACCUAAUUCAAAUCCCAGCCCACUACUCACCAGUUGUGCUACCUGUUGGGCAAAUUGCUUGACCUCUCUGGGCCUAUGUCUUCAUUGGUAGAGUGGGGAUAUUGAUAAUAUUCUAGGAUAUUUAUGGGAAUGGAAUGAAUAUACCUG